UAUGUGUAUAUGUAUGUGUGUGUGCAUGUGCGUGUGCACGUAUACACACAUGCUUUGGAUA
rnacentral:miRNA from 11 species